rnacentral:lncRNA from 1 species
AUUAGGAGAAAUACCUAAUGUAAAUGAUGAGUUAAUGGGUGCAGCAAACCAACGUGGCACAUGUAUACCUAUGUAACUAACCUGCACGUUGUGCACAUGUACCCUAGAACUUAAAGUAUAAUUAAAAAAAAAAAAAGAAAGAAAAGAAAAGAGAAAAGUGCCAAUGGUUUGUUCAGAAAAUAACUGCAGCUGGGGAUCAGAAGAGGAAGCUAAUAUACAGCCUACUGUAGUUAAGGAAGUGUUCACAUCAGGGAGGAGAAGUGAGCUAAGCUUUGAAGGGCAAGUAGGAUUCUAAGAGGUGGAGGAGAUGGGAGAAAUCACAGGAAAAGAGAAAGAGGAGG